rnacentral:miRNA from 1 species
GUGUUGGGAGGGGGGGGGGGGGGGGGCCCCCCCCCCCCCCCUCCCAACAN